ensembl:lncRNA
CAAGAAGUCACUCAAGAGACAUGCCCUUUGGUUGCACAAGCAUAAUGACUUGUGUUAAUUAUAGUAUAAAAAAAUGUGAGUUGUUGGGGAGAAGACAUUAACUUGACUCCUGAUCACACAGUCAGGUUCCAGCAUCUUGUUCUUGAAGAGACUGUCCCCAUGGCGACGAUGUUGACUGUCCUUAUCCUACUCAUCAUUGCCUUUGCAUGUGAGAGAGACACCUUCACACUACUAGAAUUUUUCUACGGCUGGCCAUGCUUUCCACCUGGCUACUCCUACCCCGGUCAACAGUACUGCACCCCCAACAGCAAUUCGCCCAAGCCUUCCCCAUUUCUCCUUCUCCCAAAUCCAUUCAGCUGAUGUUCUGAAAGAGCUGCAAAAUCUGGACCCCUACAAAUCAGCCGGGCUAGACAAUCUGGACCCUUUCUUUCUAAAAUUAUCUGCCGAAAUUGUUGCCACCCCUAUUACUAGCCUGUUCAACCCCUGUAAACAGGUCAAUGGAAUUCAACCAAAACAGUGAAAAUGCCAUGGAAACACCUCCCACGCAUCCCCCUGUGAGGGAUAGAUCUAGAAUCUCCUUAUUGCCACCCUUCAAAAUUAAGCUACAUUUUAAUAAUUUGCCUACAUUUACAGUGCAUUCAGAAAGUGUUCAGAGCCCAUUACUUUUUCCACAUUUUGAUAAGUUACUGCCUUAUUCUAAAAUGGAUAAAAUUGAUUUUUUUUUUUGCUCAAUAAACUACACACAAUACCCCAUAAUGUCAAAGCAAAAACUGUUUUUUAUAUAUUUUUUUUCUCCAAAUGUGUAUAUAUAUAUAAAAAAACUGAAAUAUCACAUUUACUUAAGCAUUCAAACCCUUUACUCUGUACUUUGUUGAAGGAUCUUUGGCAGUGAUUACAGCCUCGAAUCUUCUUGGGUAUGACACUACAAGCUUGGCACACCUGUAUUUGGGGAGUUUCUCCCAUUCUUCUCUGCAGAUCCUCUCAAGCUCUGUCAGGUUGGAUGGGGAGCAUUGCUGCACAGCUAUUUUCAGGUCUCUCCAGAGCUCUGUUAGAGUGACCAUCUGGUUCUUGGUCACCUCCCUGACCAAGGCCCUUCUCCCCCAAUUGCUCAGUUUGGCCGGGCGGCCAGCUCUAGGAAGAGUCUUGAUGGUUCCAAACGUAUUCCAUUUUAAGAAUGAUGGCCAUUGUGUUCUUGGGGACCUCCAAUGCUGCAGAAAUGUUUUGGUUCCCUUCUCCAGAUCUGUACCUCAACACAAUCCUGUCUCGGAGCCCUACAAACAAUUCCUUUGACCUCAUGGCUUGUUUUUUUCUCUGACAUGCACUGUCAACUGUGGGACCUUAUAUAGACAGUUUUGUGCCUUUCCAAAUCAUGUCAAAUCAAUUAAAUUUACCACAGGUGGACUCCAAUCAAGUUGUAGAAACAUCUCAAGGUUAAUCAAUGGAAACAGGAUGCACCUGAGCUCAAUUUCGAGUCUCAUAGCAAAGGGACUGAAUACUUAUGUAAAUAAGGUAAUUCUGUUUGUAUAUUUUAUACAUUUGCUGAAGUUUAUAAAACCCCUUUUUCACUUUGUCAUUAUGGGGUAUUGUGUGUAGAUUGCUGAGGAUUUGUAUUUAUUUCAUGGAUUUUAGAAUAAGGCUGUAACGUAACAAAAUGUGGAAAAAGUCAAGGGGUCUGAGUACUUUCCGAAGCCACUGUACAUGGUAUUUCACACUAUGUUUGGUUAAAAAUCGGAGUAUAAUGCUUGUAUAGAUGUCAACCCCGAAGCAUUUUCAUGUCAUCAUCACCAAUCAACUGUAUUACAAUUAAAAACGUCUUCACCUACAACCACCAAUUUAUAUAUGCUAGUUAUGUUACCAGCUUAUAUGAACAGGAAAAGGACACCUUCUAAAUAUUAUGCAGCUAAAACAGCCAAAUAUGUCCAAAUAGGAUUUUAGUAACCACCUUGUGGGCCUGUUCGAACAUAGAAAUGAGGGAUUUGAUGAAUAUCCACUUUUUUAAUAGAUUCUCUUUUUGACAGGGUGCCAAUGACAGUGUUUCUUUUAUCUCCAACGGUCUGCGUUCCAUUGACCUCUUUAACACAUGUAUGGGAAAUGUUGAGUCGAUUGUUUGGUGGUUCCCCAAAAAACAUUGCCAUGUUGAAUAAGAACACUCAGAAUGAUACAUUGCAACAGUCACUCUUUAGCUCACGCUUAUUACCAAAAUGUGUGUCUAGACCUGUCCUUUUCAGGUAACAGGACCCUGGAACCCUCAUCAUCUGGAACCGAGGAGCCGUCCUUCUCAGGUGACAGGACCCUGGAACCCUCAUCAUCUGGAACCGAGGAGCCGUCCUUCUCAGGUGACAGGACCCUGGAACCACCAUCAUCUGGAACCGAGGAGCCGUCCUUCUCAGGUGAUAGGACCCUGGAACCACCAUCAUCUGGAACCGAGGAGCCGUCCUUCUCAGGUAACAGAACCCUGGAACCUCCAUCAUCUGGAACCGAGGAGCCAUCCUACUCGGGUGACAGGACCCUGGAACCCCCAUCAUCUGGAACCGAGGAGCCAUCCUACUCUGGUGACAGGACCCUGGAACCUCCAUCAUCUGGAACCGAGGAGCCGUCCUUCUCAGGUGAUAGGACCCUGGAACCCCCAUCAUCUGGAACCGAGGAGCCAUCCUACUCUGGUGACAGGACCCUGGAACCUUCAUCAUCUGGAACCAAGGAGCCGUCCUUCUCAGGUGACAGGACCCUGGAACCACCAUCAUCUGGAACCGAGGAGCCGUCUUUCUCAGGUGACAGAACCCUGGAACCUCCAUCAUCUGGAACCGAGGAGCCAUCCUACUCGGGUGACAGGACCCUGGAACCCCCAUCAUCUGGAACCGAGGAGCCAUCCUACUCUUCUGACAGGACCCUGGAACCUUCAUCAUCUGGAACCAAGGAGCCGUCCUUCUCAGGUAACAGGACCCUGGAACCACCAUCAUCUGGAACAGAGGAGCCGUCUUUCUCAGGUGACAGGACCCUGGAACCCCCAUCAUCUGGAACCGUGGAGCCGUCCUUCUCAGGUGACAGGACCCUGGAACCACCAUCAUCUGGAACCAAGGAGCCGUCUUUCUCAGGUGAUAGGACCCUGGAACCCCCAUCAUCUGGAACCGAGGAGCCGUCCUUCUCAGGUAACAGGACCCUGGAACCCCCAUCAUCUGGAACCGAGGAGCCGUCUUUCUCAGGUGACAGGACCCUGGAACCACCAUCAUCUGGAACCGUGGAGCCGUCUUUCUCAGGUGACAGGACCCUGGAACCCCCAUCAUCUGGAACAGAGGAGCCGUCCUCCGGAGUGUGAGAAGAUCAUGAACAGCAACGGGAGAGUUGAUAAUAUUGAUUACCAUGAUAUUGACCAGGGUAUAUUUUUUUACAUGGAUAUUGCAGUGUCAUUUCAGACACAGCCUGAGAGGGAAAAGUACAGCAAUUGUUUGUCAGAUUUAUUUAGCAUAAUUGUUAACUUUUCUGCUAUCCUGUCUAGUAACUUUCCAUAACUAUGUAGACAGUAAAGCCUUAUAUGCUGUAGUGUGUCUUUCACUGAAGCUUUCCUAUCCUCUGUGCUGACUGUCAUUAGCAGACCUGGGCUCAAACAUACUAUCUGAAAUCUUCCAAAUACUUUGAGUGUUUUAUCUAGCCUGUCUGAAGUGCUGGAUGGGCAGUGUUUGCAGUUUUGGGACAAUUGUAUUGGUCAAUUUUACCAUGCAGGCUCAUUCAAGCACAGAUUAAGUAUUUGGAAUGAUUUCAAAUAGUAUUUUAACCAGGUCUGGACAUAAGAAAAUAUUACAUAACAUAUACAUGUAAGAUCCUGUUUUUGUUAUUUUAUCCCCCUCUACUUUACACAGGGCAGGAGGCCUUCCAGGCUUCUGGUCUAUCAGAUGUCAAAGACCUCUGUAGUACCACUUCAUACAGAGUUUGACUCUUUCUAUCUUCUGUUUCAUCAUCUAAACCCUGUGUCCCAUCAUGUAGUUGUUUUGGAGGCAUUCUGUCAUGGAAUAAAUCUAUAUGAUCAAGAUCAUCUUGUCCUAGUUGCAAGGUCCCUCCUGGGAAGGUGGGUGGGGUCAUUUCUUUUUCUUUGCAAUUUUCUCUCUUUGCAAUUCUGUCACUAUUGUGAAAGUUGUUUUAGACUUAAAGCAUAUAGCCCAAUUGACAAGUACUUCAUGACUGUGCCACCAGUGGACGCUGCUAAGGGGAGGACGGCUCAUAAUAAUGGCUGGAAUGGAGUCAAUGGAACGCUAUCAAACGUGGUUUCCAUGUGGUUGAUACCAUUCCAAUGACUCCAUUCCAGGCAUUACUAUGAGCCGUCCUCCCCACAGCAGCCUCCACUGUGUGCCCACAUUGUAAUUGAUAUACAGUAUGUUUGCCAAGGUUAUACAGUGUAAGAUUAAGUAGUGUAUGGUUCCAACUUGUAUAGAUCACGGUAACAUAUAAUGUACUAACAAUAUCAAUAUUAUGUUUGCGUUUUCUCUAGGCAAUGUUAUUGUACUGUACUUCUUCAUAUUGCACUCGGUGAACCAGAACUGUGUGUGUGCGUGUGUAUGCAUAUGUAUUGCUUGAUUAGGACAAGCAAUACAAACGCAAAAGUGUUUACUUCUCUUGAGACGAGUAUGAUGAAGAGAGGAAAAAAAGAGUUGUCGAGUUGCAUAAACGCCCAGGCUUUGGGGAAGUGUUGCUACUAUUAAAUAAAGAAGAGAUGAUUAAUGCA